GGUCUUUGACAGCUCCUCUGGGAUGGAUCGCCUCGCUCGUUCUGUGAUGACUCCUUCUCCUAGUAAAAAACAGAAAUGCCAUAAUAUCAGUCUUUGCUGUGUGGUCGACGGUGAGUCUCCAUAAUAUCCUCUCUUCUGUAUCUCCUUCGCGUGACCCAAAUUAUUUUGGACAGGAACGGCACUGCGUCCUUUGAUGGAAGUCCUUUUUCUGGGAAAUGUCAGAGAGACGCAGCAGGACACAUCGGCACUCUGGCAGGCGCAAACACAAAGGGACACGAUGUGCAGAGACAACGUGUCCCGUCAACCGUUUCUUUCAGCAGUGUUGUCGGGGUCAAGCCGGCCUGAAGAUGUCAGAGUCAGAUACACAACCGACAUCAAAGUUGUUCCACGGGGGAUACACGGUGAGCUCUAGUACAUUCAAAGGACACAGGGGUUUAAUGGUUAAGAGAGACAGAGGUCGGUGGGCCGGGAGCUUUCACCCAGCUGAAGUCAUCUUGAGUGGGACACAGCGUGCCAAAUGGCCCGAGGGGCCCAGACGGGCUGAUCCUGCACUAUUCGAGACAAUAGAGCAGAAAUAGGGUUCUGCACGGAUCUAUGGGUGUAUUGGAUUACUCACUGAAUGAAGCACAAACAUGGAUCAAAGAGUAAUACAACACUUUAGUGCAUCUAGAUGAUAUCACAGUGUCAUACAGAGCCGGACAAACAUCCACAGGCUAAUAUUGAUAUUUGAGAGUUUAAAAGAAAUCAAUAACAAUAUAAUGGCCAAACUGUGUUUUUUUUUAGCUGUAGCCACAAAGCAUGUAACAUAUUACAUACACGUUUUCGAAAGCGGUGAAUAAUAAGCUGGUAGGCUCUAGUAAACAAAAUGUAAAACCAAUAUUGCCUUGUAAAUUGUGAAAGUUAUACGCCGCAUUACUUUUACAAUAAUUUAAUGAUAUUGGUUCUAGAUUCAAGUAGUAUAAUUUGGCCAAACUGUGUUGGGGAACCAAUAUAUGUACAGUUACAAUAGAUUUUUUAAAGAAAUAUGUUAUCAAUUGG
ensembl:lncRNA